rnacentral:tRNA from 1 species
UGGUCUGUAGCUCAGUUGGUAGAGCAUGGUGCUUGCAAUGCCAGAAUUAUGGGUUCGGUUCCCGGGACCAC